rnacentral:rRNA from 1 species
AUAAUAGCACCGGCGUUAAGCACGACUAGAAAACAGUUAAACACAUUGGGAUAAAAUUAAACUAGGCUGUAAAAAGCCAUAAGCCAUUCUAACCUCGCCCCCAAUACUCAAACCCCUUCAACUCGUGAAAAUAGGAAUACAAACUAAGAUUAGAUACCUUACUAUGCCUAACCUAACACACAAUAAACUACCAAUUGUUCGCCAAACAACUACGAGUAAAAACUUAAAACUUAAAAGACUUGACGGUACUUCACACCACCCUAGAGGAGCCUGUCUAAUAACCGAUACCCCGCGAUUAACCCUACCCCCUCUAGCCCAGCAGUCUAUAUACCGCCAUCGCCAGCUUACCUUGUGAAAGAAACAGAGUAAACACAACAGCCACCACUAACACGAUAGGUCGAGGUGUAACUUAUGAGGGGGAAUAAGAUGGGCUACAUUUUCUAACACAGAAAAUACGAAUGGACUACGAAAAUAGAAACCGAAGGCGGAUUUAGCAGUACAUUAAGGACAAAAUGCUUAAUUGAAACAAAUGCAAUGAAGUGCGUACACACCGCCCGUCAUCCCUGUAAAAACCACUAAUUAUUCAUAAU